rnacentral:lncRNA from 1 species
UCACCAGCCCCAGCUGGAUAGUUCUUAUAUUUACAGUAUUAUAGGACUGACUUGUCUGGACAUCCUUUGCUGAGGGAAUUGAGUUUCUCUGGUUCUUCCUAGGCAGAGUGCAUUUGAGUAUCUCCCAUGGUUUGAAUAUCAUGGUAGAAGAUUAUGAAUUAUUAUUUAAAUUUUGUGAUCUGCUGGUGGUCUGAAUUCCAGUCUUCCUGGAGUCACUGCUGCUGUUUAAUUUUCCAUAAAAAGUAGCUUUUUUAGUCAUUCUAUCCAUUCUGUAUUUGCUUUUCAAGGAAGUGUCAGGUGGAGCCUGUUUACCUGUUUACUUUGACCUGGAGCCCUUUGUUUUAUAUGCUGUUCCACUGCCUAGUGCUGGUCUCCAGUUUCAGCAAGACCUUGAUGCCCAAAUGACAGGUGUGUGUCCCUUGAUGAUGCAACUGUAUCAACCUCCCCAGUUGAUAUAGGAGAUCCUCUAGGUUACUUGUUAAAUCUGAUCCUUAAGUAUAUCCUUUUGAUGUCUCUUUUCAUAAGGCUUUCUUUGGUAUCUUUCUCAGAUACAUCACAUCACCCUUAUCAUAUAUUGUGACAGCAAUUAGGUCUUCUAAAUAUGCUCGAAAAGUGGCCUUUCUUGUCUUCAACAUACUGUGUGUGUUAAUUACUUCAGUAUGAAGUUUCUUUUCCUUUCUUCUUUUAAGAACUAGGGAUCAAACCUAGGGUUUUGUGGGUGCUUGGUAUCAUACCCCAGCUUCCCUUUUACCUUUUAUUUUGACAUAAGUUCUUGCAGGGUUGUUCAGACUAGUCCUGAACUCCUGAUUCUCCUGCCUUCACUUUCUAAGCACUGGGAUUAGUCAUUUGCUAUCACAUUUUGAAUUUUAAAUAAUUGUGCCCCAGCCUCUCAAGUAACGGGUUACUGUUGUGUCCACUAGUCCUGCCAGGGAGGGUUUCUUUACUUGAAGUGCAGAGUGGAGCUGUGGUGGAUAGAUCAGUCAAAAAGCCAGAUUCCAUAUAAACCUCUAAUGUUAGAACUUGGCUGUCUGAGGCAGGAUUGAUAGUGCAAGGCUAGCCUGGUCUACAUAGUGAGUUUAAAGCCAGUUUGUGCUGUAAAGUGAAACUGUUUUUGUUUGUUUGUUUGUUUGUUUUGUUUUGUUUUGUUUUGUUUUUUAAAGCUGGUGGUGGCACAUCUGAUCCCAGCACUUUUGGGGCACAGAGGCAUUCAGUUCUCUGUGAGUUUGAGGACAUCUUGGUCUACAGAGCAGGUUCCAGGACAGCCAGGGCUACAGAGAAAUUCUGUCUUGAAAAAAUCAAACACCAACCAACCCACCCACCCACUCACUCACCCACUUACCCACUCACCCAUCCAAGAGAAAAAAAGAAUCAGGUUAGACCAACACGUGGGUCCUUCUUCCAGAUUUGAACCCUCUUUAAAGUAAUUUCCUUCCUCACAUAUUAUGUGGACAUUUUCAUAACUCUUAUAAAUUAAUAGAUUUAGUUCUUAGUUUGUGGAUAGUCAUAAAUAAAACCUAUUGCUUUUAGGGCAGAAUCUUCCUUGUUUUGCGCAAGAGGAGCUCCUAAUCUUAGUUGCUUCCUGACUCUCCUCAUUACUCUGAGGAUUAGAAAGCAGUUUCUAUGUCGCUGGUUCUGCAUACAGAAUGAACAUCUUUUUGUUAAUACUCCCUUUUCAGAAGUCAGUAAGUUCAUGGCUUCUUUUUCUGGCUUAGGGUAUUUGGUCAAUGGCUCAGUAUCAAUUGUACAGCAGCCCUGUACUAACCCUGACAUAUGAUGAAUGACACACCGUAUUCUGACCAUGGCAAGUUCCACAUUCUAGUAAUACAAUAUUUUUGGCUAGGAGCUAAUUUUGAAAUAUAAAGAACUUUUGGUUUGCCCAGGUGAUUUUUAUAAUUGCGCCAAUAUUGAUUUUGGGGUUGGGAGUGGGUUCAGAUAAGGUUUCACAGUAUGUUCCAGACUGGCCUAGAACUCCCUUUGUAGACUAGGCUGACUUUGAACUCACGGAGACCCAUCUGCCUAUGCCUCCUGAAUGCUGGAAGUAAAGGUGUGUGCCACCAUGAUUGGUCAUUCCAACAUUCUUGAUUUGUUGUUGUGGUGUUUUGUUUGUUUAGUUGUUUGUUUAGGACAUUACCUCUGAUCUAUGUUCUUGCAGAAAUAGGUUACAGCUAGUCUAAGUAUAGAAGUUGGUAGACUAAGCUAAAAGAUAAGUCCCUUUGAAGUAGUAGUUUGUUUUUGGACAAUGGAGAGUGUUACAAAUUGAAGCAGAAUAGAAAGGAAAAAUGAUGGAAACAUGAGGAAAGAUUGGCUAAAAGUCAAGGAUUUUGAUAACAAUUGAUAAAAAAAACCAAACUGAUGGCAGGAUUAUCUACUGUCCUAGUUUCAUUUUUGUUGCUUUGAUAAAAAUACCACACC